UACUCUGGAACACCACCUGAUUGUGUAAAAAAGUUUGUCCAUCAUUUUAACUGAAAGUUAUUUGGGAUGAAGUGAUAUUGUUUGUGUUUUAUAAUUUUUUUUUGGUCUUGGUCUUUGGUUUCUAAAUUUGGAAAAUGUUUUUUUUUUUUUUUUUGUGAAGCACUUUGAGCUACUUUUGCUCGAAAAUCAAACAGUUUGACUUGAUUUACCUUGUUUGGUUUCUCAUUGUGUUUAUUUUUAUUUUUUUACUUUUCAUUUUCAUUUCUAUAAAUUACUUUUGUUUUCUGAAAUGUUGCUAAUUUUUGGAAUUGUGCUUUUAUUAUUUGAAAGUUGUCUUUAUUUCUAAAAUGUUAUGUUUUUUCUUUUAAUUUGCUUUGCUUUUUCAGUUGUUGUGAUAUUUAAUAUGUUGAUACAGUAUAUUUAAUUUGUCAAUUUGAUUUUUACUUCAGGGGCCACAAGAGACAUUUGCUUUGGAAUGGAGAAUCUGACUGAACAGUUGCUUGCUCCUGUUAUGUAUGAAUGGCUCAAGGAAUUUAUGAAUGGACAUGAAUCCAAAACUGUGGGAGAAGGUUCAGCAGGCGGGAGCCGGACAGCACAGAAACUAAAUGGCAGCUACAGAAAUAGAUCGGUUGUGAAGAGGAUUUCCUUGGAACCUGCAAUGACCUCCUUAUGCUGACAGAAAUGUUCCCUUUCAGUCAAUUCACUCGGGACAACACAUGUACUAUGGGAUAUCAGACCAAUCACUGCUUAUUGACGACAUCUGACACUAACACAGCGGCGACCAUUUGGCAAAAAAAUGGCAUCUUACUUGACUUAUUUUGGUGGAGCUGGAUAGAAACCCUUUUCUAUGGGUGACAUCACACUUGCUUUGUCCAGUUCUCACAUACAGUCAAUAGCUGCAUCCGAUUUCCUUACAACUGCAGUGGAACAUAUUCUAUGAAGUUACAAUAAUGCAGCGGUUCAAAUCCAAGGCUAAUAGAAGGCUACUGUGUCCUUGGACAAGACACUUUACCCUACAGCUACAUUAACUGUAAAUAUUUAUCUUUAAGCACUCCAUCGACUAAAAGCUGUUUCUUAAUUAAAAAAAAAAAAAAAACAGAAAUUUGGAUCCUGUUGCCUGAGAGUAUUUCCCUUUUUGCCCUGCUAAAAAGUAAGGUCUCUGGACUUAAGGGAGCUGAUUUAUUUUUUUAUGUUUUUAUCCCAGCUUCUUCACACUUCACAUGGAAAUAGCUCAAGUGAGACAUAAACCACAAAAAAAUCUUAAAAAACAAAAAUGAGAGUAAAUGCUCCACUUAAUCUAGACACAAUCUAAUGAAAGUUGCAAAAAAAAA